rnacentral:rRNA from 1 species
ACACUCCUACGGGAGGCAGCAGUGGGGAAUUUUGGACAAUGGGCGAAAGCCUGAUCCAGCCAUGCCGCGUGCAGGAUGAAGGCCUUCGGGUUGUAAACUGCUUUUGUACGGAACGAAACGGCCUUUUCUAAUAAAGAGGGCUAAUGACGGUACCGUAAGAAUAAGCACCGGCUAACUACGUGCCAGCAGCCGCGGUAAUACGUAGGGUGCAAGCGUUAAUCGGAAUUACUGGGCGUAAAGCGUGCGCAGGCGGUUAUGUAAGACAGUUGUGAAAUCCCCGGGCCCAACCUGGGAACUGCAUCUGUGACUGCAUAGCUAGAGUACGGUAGAGGGGGAUGGAAUUCCGCGUGUAGCAGUGAAAUGCGUAGAUAUGCGGAGGAACACCGAUGGCGAAGGCAAUCCCCUGGACCUGUACUGACGCUCAUGCACGAAAGCGUGGGGAGCAAACAGGAUUAGAUACCCCAGUAGUCCC